rnacentral:rRNA from 1 species
GAUGAACGCUAGCGGUGUGCCUAAUGCAUGCAAGUCGAACGGGAUCCUUGGAUUCGUCUAAGGUGAGAGUGGCGAACGGGUGAGUAACACGUUGGUGACCUGCCCCAGAGAGGGGGAUAACUAUUGGAAACGAUGGCUAAUACCCCGGAUGUUAUUGAGUUUAGAAAUCAAUGACUAAAGCUCCGGCGCUCUGGGAGGGGCCUGCGUCCCAUCAGCUAGUUGGUAAGGUAAUGGCUUACCAAGGCAAAGACGGGUAGGGGGCGUGAGAGCGUGACCCCCCACACUGGUACUGAAACACGGACCAGAUACCUACGGGUAGCAGCAGCAAGGAAUAUUGCGCAAUGGGCGAAAGCCUGACGCAGCAACACCGCGUGGAGGAUGAA